rnacentral:rRNA from 1 species
UGCUAUACAUGCAGUCGAGCGGACAGAAGGGAGCUUGCUCCCGGAUGUUAGCGGCGGACGGGUGAGUAACACGUGGGUAACCUGCCUGUAAGACUGGGAUAACUCCGGGAAACCGGAGCUAAUACCGGAUAGUUCCUUGAACCGCAUGGUUCAAGGAUGAAAGACGGUUUCGGCUGUCACUUACAGAUGGACCCGCGGCGCAUUAGCUAGUUGGUGGGGUAAUGGCUCACCAAGGCGACGAUGCGUAGCCGACCUGAGAGGGUGAUCGGCCACACUGGGACUGAGACACGGCCCAGACUCCUACGGGAGGCAGCAGUAGGGAAUCUUCCGCAAUGGACGAAAGUCUGACGGAGCAACGCCGCGUGAGUGAUGAAGGUUUUCGGAUCGUAAAGCUCUGUUGUUAGGGAAGAACAAGUGCGAGAGUAACUGCUCGCACCUUGACGGUACCUAACCAGAAAGCCACGGCUAACUACGUGCCAGCAGCCGCGGUAAUACGUAGGUGGCAAGCGUUGUCCGGAAUUAUUGGGCGUAAAGGGCUCGCAGGCGGUUUCUUAAGUCUGAUGUGAAAGCCCCCGGCUCAACCGGG